AGAAUCAGCACCUCCUGACUAGCACACCAAACAGGCAGAGGAGGAGGAGGAGGAGGAGGAGGAGGAUGAAGACGAGCAGCAUUAGUCACUCUGUCAGCUGUAGAUCCAUGGAUAAAGAGCCAAACCCUGACCGAAAUACUUCCGAACCACAGUCACUCACUCACUGAUGCGGCGACCGGUCACAUCAGGAUAACGGGUUGCAGUGCAUCAUGGGAGUGGCCUGUCACUUGAGCGACUCUGAUUGGUGGAUCUGUCUUCAGGAUUGUGG